UACGUAGGUGGCAAGCGUUACUCGGAAUCACUAGGCGUAAAGCGCAGGUAGGCGGCCCGGUAAGUCCGCUGUGAAAGUCCAGGGCUCAACCCUGGAAUGCCGGUGGAAACUGUCGGGCUAGAGUCCGGAAGAGGCGAGUGGAAUUCCUGGUGUAGCGGUGAAAUGCGCAGAUAUCAGGAGGAACACCAAUGGCGAAGGCAGCUCGCUGGGACGGUACUGACGCUGAGACGCGAAAGCGUGGGGAGCAAACAGG
rnacentral:rRNA from 1 species